rnacentral:lncRNA from 1 species
GGCCUCGGUGAUGGAGCCCCUGGCCUGGAGGCCUUCGUGGAGGUCUUCCAGCUCAGCGGGGAGCAGGGCAGCGCGUGUCUGGAUGAAUGGCUGGCCUCCUUCAGGGACAGGUUCCCAGACUAUGUGAGGUGAGAGACAGAAGGGGGGCAAGUAGACGGGGGAGCCUGCAGGGGGCUCAGCCCGGGCCUGGGCGGAGGCGGGACUGAGCUAAGGGUGCCGGCAUGUGAAGGGUGAGUAGGAAGGGCAUGAAGGGCAUGAAGGGCAUGAAGGGUAUGAAGGGUGUGAAGGGUGAGUUGCCGGCAGAGACUGGGAGCCUUGUGCCAAAGCGCAUAUCUCAGCGCCUCCUGUCCUCAGGAGGGAAUCCAAGGCCAGAGAAGGGCAAGGACUUGCCCAGGGUCCCCCGCAGGCCGGUGCAGGCCCCUCCCUAGUCUCUCCGCCUCCUGACGCUGAGAUCCACCCAGCUGGACCCUCGGAGCGGCCCAGUCCAGAUCCCUUCCUGGUGUCCAGGGCUCCCCGCACACAGGGCCAGCCCGAGGAGCCUGAGCUCAGGAGCUGCUGCCCUUGCUACUGGGGCUUCCUCACGACUUUCACAAGGUGACCAAGGGGGUGAGGGCUCCAGGGCCGUCUCCAGGGACGCUGGUCUGGCUCCUAGACAACCCCCCACCAGUCUGUUUUAUUCAGUUCCUGUCUGGAGAUGGCCGUCACCAUUGUCUUGGCUGAGAUCUGUCCUGUCUGUUGCCUGGCAAAAGUCUUCACGGCGGAGGACCAGCCUCAUGUCUGGGGGACCAGACAGACGUUUGUCUUCAUCUCCUCGGCGCCCACUGGCCGCCCCAAGAGGAAAUGGAAGCAGCAGUCUGAAAUCCAGAAGGAAGCCGUCCUUCUCAAGCCCGGACUCCUCCACCAGAGGAUCCUGAGUCAGACACCAUGCUAUGAAAGGCCAGCCUCCUCCACAGUCCACCAGAAGCUGCGGAGGCCAAGGGCGGGGCGGGCAGAGGGCAGGCACGGGAGCGUCCCACCAGCCUGGCCGAGGGCCCUCUCCUGCGCGGACCACAGCUUCACUGACAUGCAGUUCACAUGCCGUGUGGUUCACCCACUGAAGUUGCACGUACCAUUCAGUGGUUUUUAGCAUGUUCACAGUUGUACAGCCAUCACCGCAGGCCAUGUUGGGACAUCUUCAUCCCUAGAAAGGACCUGUAACCUUGUCGGCAUGACCCCAAGCCCCUCUUCCCGCCGUGCCCCCCGCCCUGGGCAGGCUCUGCUCUGCUUUCUGGCCACAUACAUGUGUCUGUUCCGGGCACGUCUCAUGAAGUGAAUUACAUGAGGCGUCACCUUUUGUGACCAGCUUCUUUCGCUUCUUUCGCUCAUCGUUAUGCUUCAGGGUUCAUCGGUGUGACUCGCAUCCAUUUCCGCCCGUUUUUUACGUUUUUUCCUUCCCUAUGUGGCUGUGCUGGGUCUUAGUUGUGGCAUCUUUUCCGUUGUGCCACUCGAACUCUCAGUUGCAAAAUGUAGGAUCUAGUUCCCUGACCAGGCAUCGAACCCAGGCCCCCUGCACUGGGAGCGUAGAGUCGUAGCCGUUGGCCCACCAAGGCAGUUACUUCCCCAUUCAUUUUUAUAGCUGAUACUCGGUUUUAUACUCGGUUUAGUCAGACAUUCGUUGAUGGGCAUUCGAGUUGUUUCCCGUUUGGGGCUGCUGUGAAUAAUGCUGCUAUGAACACAUGUGCACAACAUUUUGUGUAGACAUGUGUUUUUAGUCCUCCUGUGUUCCACCGAGGAGUGCAAUUCCUGGGUCAAAUGGUGACUCCGCGUUUAACUUUUUGAGAAACUGUGGAGUAUUUCUCCGAAGCAUACCAGCGAGGUAUGAGGGGCCCAGCGUCUCCAUACCCUCAUCAACAUUCCUUAUGUCAGACUUUGUGAUGAUACCCACCCUCGCGGGUGUGAAGUGGUUUUAUUUACUUAUUUACUUCUUCAGUUUAAUUUUUGUCUGCCCUGGGUCUUUUUUGCUGAGCAGCCUUGGCUGCAGUUGCGGAGAGCAGGGACCCCCUCUGGUGGCGCUGCUCCGGCCUCUCCUCGCCGUGGCCUCUCUUGAGGAGCCCUGGCUCCGGGCCCGUGGGUUCACUCCGUAGUUG